UACGUAGGGUGCAAGCGUUGUCCGGAAUUAUUGGGCGUAAAGAGCUCGUAGGCGGUCUGUCGCGUCUGCUGUGAAAACCUAGGGCUUAACUCUGGGCGUGCAGUGGGUACGGGCAGGCUAGAGUGCGGUAGGGGAGACUGGAAUUCCUGGUGUAGCGGUGAAAUGCGCAGAGUAUCAGGAGGAACACCGAUGGCGAAGGCCAGGUCGUCUGGGCAUUAACUGACGCUGAGGAGCGAAAGGCAGUGGGGAGCGAACAGG
rnacentral:rRNA from 1 species